GCGUCGUUAGCGCAAUAGGCAGCGCUUCAGUCUCAUAAUCAAAUCUAGAAAUCUGAAGGUCGUGAGUUCGAUCCACACACGGGGCA
rfam:Nematostella vectensis strain CH2 x CH6 NEMVEscaffold_514_Cont29145, whole genome shotgun sequence.